UACGAAGGGGGCUAGCGUUGUUCGGAAUUACUGGGCGUGAAGCGCGCGCAGGCGGUCUUCCAAGUCAGUGGUGAAAGCCCGGAGCUCAACUCCGGAAUUGCCAGUGAAACUGUUGGACUUGAGUACGAGAGAGGUGAGUGGAAUUCCCAGUGUAGAGGUGAAAUUCGUAGAUAUUGGGAAGAACACCGGUGGCGAAGGCGGCUCACUGGCUCGUUACUGACGCUGAGGCGCGACAGCGUGGGGAGCAAACAGG
rnacentral:rRNA from 1 species